UGUAAUAAAUAUAAGUACAGAGCGCGUGAGUGAACUAAAAACGCGAUAGAGAAGUAGAGAGAGGAUGUUCCGUCCUUGUCUAAUGACACGCACUUGUACAGGAAAUAUGUAACAGCGGUAUACGAGCAGCGUCAGUGUCCACUAGUGUGCAUGCCUGAUUAAACAAGGACAGGAAGUAUCUAUACAUGGUGUUCUCUUUCUAUUUCCAUGUUGCAUCCAUCUUACUAUACAGUACACACACUCAGCUAUUCUAUCAUUAUAUUUGUGCGUUGCUUAUGUGUGAACCAAACAUUUCCAUGACAACAAAUCGUUUGUCUCGUGUUUGAUGCUCGGUUUUCAACAGAGUUGAAAGAAUUUUUUAAGAGAAACGUAAUGGACGGGUUGUUUUUAAAGUAAUAAACGGAAAUUCUCGUAUCCAUUGAGAAACGAUAGGCGAUUUGAAAGUGUCACUAUGAACGGUGAUUUAUCGAUGCAAGGUAGUAUGAAUAAGAUAUUUUAUAAUCUGCGAAAAAAGAUAAGGAAUAUUCUAGAUUUUAGAUUUUAGAAUUUCCACGUCACAGACGAGUGUGUUUUGUUAUUUGAUUUGUAAUAUUGCUGCAGUUCUCUUAAUAGCUGUUCGUUUCAUGCGAUACUCGCACAUAGUAUCUAUGACUUUUGCUUCUAACAAUUUUUAUAAUUAGGCUGUAUCAAAUAUUUUUAACGUUCGUGUUUCAUGAAAAAUCAUGUGUAACUCGUUGAAUUCGCAAAUGUAACAAAAAAUUACAUGAAAAACCUUAUAUUAUUGUAAUGAAAAAAUAAUUAUAUUAGGAGGAGAGUCGUAUUUCGGAACGUCAUCGGAACAUAUUAUACCUUGUAUGUGAUUAUUUGGAACACAAUGGGUGAGUAUAUUAUAAUUAAAAUAUAUUCCUAGUUCCAAUUCUUUUGAAUAGUGUCAGUGACCAAUCGAAAUAGAAAUCAGUGGACACCAUGGAAAGAGAAGGCGAAACCAAAUUUGAAAAUUCGACAUCGGUAAUUCAGUAGUUAAGAAUAACUCAAUCGAUAAUGUAGAUUAACUAGUUAUAAACAAAUAUAUGAAGUAUAAAUUCAAAUUAUUCUUAUCCAUCUAAAAAUUGGAAAUUAAAAAGCAGAAGACAAGAAAUUAUCUUCGAGGAUUUAUAUAGUAUAUAGACGUUAGCGAUGUAUUAUUCCGGGAAGCUCGUCUAUCUCCCGAACAUCGGGUUUGCGACAACAUCGAUUUGGAAAUUAUCGUUGCAGAGUAUGAAAAUUAUUACAAGAUGAAAUUUCAAAAAUAUCCCAUAUUGUGUAAGAAAAUAACUGGAAGGGAAAUGACGAAGGAA